GACGAACGCUGGCGGCGUGCUUAACACAUGCAAGUCGAACGGAAAGGCCUCUUUCGGGGGGUACUCUAGUGGCGAACGGGUGAGUAACACGUGAGUAACCUGCCCUUGACUUUGUGGUAACUUCUGGGAACUGGGGCUAUUACCGGAUAUAAGCUCCUGCUGCAUGGGGGGGGUUGGAAAGUUUCGGCGGGUGGGGGUGGACUCGCGGGGUAUCAGCUUGUUGGUGGGGUAUUGGCUUACCAAGGCUUUGUCGGGUAGCCGGCCUGGGAGGGUGACCGGCCACAUUGGGACUGGGAUAAGGCCCAGACCCCUACGGGAGGCAGCAGUGGGGAAUAUUGCACAAUGGGUGGAAGCCUGAUGCAGGAACGCCGUGUGCGGGAUGACGGCCUUCGGGUUGUAAACCGCCUUCGCUCAUGACGAAGCUUUGUGUGACGGUAGUGGGUAAAGAAGCACCGGCUAACUACGUG
rnacentral:rRNA from 1 species